ensembl:snRNA U6 U6 spliceosomal RNA
GUGUUCUCUUGGGCAGCACAUAUACUAAAACAUUGGAACAAUACGAAGAAGGUUAGCAUGGCCCCUAUGUAAGAAUGACACACAAAUUUGUGACAAGUUGCAUAUUUUA